AACUAAAUGUAAAAGCUGCUGUUCUGGGCCAUCAGUACUAAUGUCCCUGCAGGUGUUUGUCAGGGUUAGACUU